rnacentral:rRNA from 1 species
CGGAUGACGGGAGCUUGCUCCUUGAUUCAGCGGCGGACGGGUGAGUAAUGCCUAGGAAUCUGCCUGGUAGUGGGGGACAACGUUUCGAAAGGAACGCUAAUACCGCAUACGUCCUACGGGAGAAAGCAGGGGACCUUCGGGCCUUGCGCUAUCAGAUGAGCCUAGGUCGGAUUAGCUAGUUGGUGGGGUAAUGGCUCACCAAGGCGACGAUCCGUAACUGGUCUGAGAGGAUGAUCAGUCACACUGGAACUGAGACACGGUCCAGACUCCUACGGGAGGCAGCAGUGGGGAAUAUUGGACAAUGGGCGAAAGCCUGAUCCAGCCAUGCCGCGUGUGUGAAGAAGGUCUUCGGAUUGUAAAGCACUUUAAGUUGGGAGGAAGGGCAGUAAGUUAAUACCUUGCUGUUUUGACGUUACCGACAGAAUAAGCACCGGCUAACUCUGUGCCAGCAGCCGCGGUAAUACAGAGGGUGCAAGCGUUAAUCGGAAUUACUGGGCGUAAAGCGCGCGUAGGUGGUUUGUUAAGUUGGAUGUGAAAGCCCCGGGCUCAACCUGGGAACUGCAUCCAAAACUGGCAAGCUAGAGUACGGUAGAGGGUGGUGGAAUUUCCUGUGUAGCGGUGAAAUGCGUAGAUAUAGGAAGGAACACCAGUGGC